ensembl:lncRNA
ACGAAGUUAAAAAAAAAAAAAAAAAAAUCAAAUACAGAAGUACCAGAAUCAAUAAAGAACGUUUAUCGAAAUAGUAACAAACCUAUAUACUAUGACUCAUCAACAUUAUCAAGUACAAACGAUUCAGAUGUUUAUAAUGACAAUCUUUCGGAUGAUUAUGAAAUUAUCCAAUUAUUAGAAAACACAAAGAAAGAUAAAAAAACAUUAUUAGGAGGAAUAAAAAAGCAUAUAAAGUGUUUAACUAAACAUGUAAGUGAAUAUGUACCUAAUUAUUAUAUUUUAAAUAAUUGUGAAAAAACAAAAAUGUCGAAAAUACUUUCUAACAUUUUUUUAGAUGAUAAAAAUGAACAAAUAGCAACCAAUAAUGAUUAUUUAUUUUUGCAACAGUUACAAUAUGGUACAAAUGAUCUAAAUAAUUGUUAUUUUAAUUAUCUAAAAAAAUAUUGUUUAUAUAUUUAUCAAAAUCAUUUAUUUAAAUGUAAUAAAAAUAAUAAAAUUAUGUUACAAAACUUGGAUUUGUUGAAUAUACAAAACACGAAUAUUAAUUUUACUUAUAUUUUUAAUAAAUAUGUACAAGCAUAUAAUAAUGAAAGUAAUAAUAGUGACAAAUCAAAUUCAUUUAUUUAUAAAAAAAAUAAAUUAUUAAUAUUUAACAUAAAUAAAAAAACAUUUAUUGAUUUUGAAAUAUAUCCCCAAAAUAUACAUUUAUAUAAUAUUGCUUAUAUUUCGAAUGAAAAUAAAUAUAUAGACACUUUGUUGGAUAUUCAAGUAUCCAUUUUGAAAAAUACAGUUUAUUGGUUACUAUGUGAUAAAAGAAAAAAUAAAACUACCACAGAAAAUGCAAACGAUGUAGUAACACUUGUCGCAAACAAAAAAAAAGGUAGUCGAAAAAAUAUAAACCACAAACAUAAACAAACUAAAACAACGAACAAUAAUAACAUAUCCCAAAUAAACAAAAAAAAAAUUCAAAUGGAAAGAAAUGUAAAGUCCAUGCAAAAAAGAGAAGGGAACAUAGAAACAAGUACAAGAUACGCAAAAAAAAGUAAAACAAAAUCAAGACAAUUUAUAAAAAAGAUAACAAUUAAAAAUUAUAACAGUAACAGUCGUAGUAGUAAUUAUAAUAAUAAUAACGAAAACUGUACUAAAAUAUAUAAAAAUAACUUUUUCGCUGUUAUACAAAUACUGCAUCAAGUUUUUUACUUCAAAGACAUUUUAAGCUGUUAUGAUGAAUUUGGUAACUACACAGAUGAUGUACUAAACAAAUCAAAUAAAAAAAAGAAAUCAAUUGUUAUUAAAAAAAUUAUUCAAAAAAUGAUAUUUAUAUUUUUAUUAAUUAAAAAAAAAAAAAAAAAAGGUUGUUUUAUUGAUAUUUUAAAAAAAAUAUAUUUAAAAAAUUUUUUGAAACGGGCAUGUUAUAGUGAAUAUGUACGUGUAAAAAAAGAAUACGAUUUUAUUCUGUUUUGUUUAAAUAAAUUAAAUUUUAUAAGAAUAAUAAGUUUUAUGAACACGCAUAAAUUAUUUGUAGCACAAUAUUACAAUAAUAAUAAUAUUUAUAAGAGGAGAUAUUUAUUUUAUGAACAUAAUUACAAACACCCAUUUUUAAAUAUGAUUAAUUAUAAUUUAAAAAAUAAUAAAUUGCAAAUUAAAAAGGAUACAACUAGUUGUGUCAAGAAGUUUGACAAUUUUUUGAACAACAUAAAAAAUAUAGUAACACAUAAAAAUAAUACCACCAUUACCCAUCAUAAUAAUAACAAUAAUAAUAACUCAAAUGACAACCAAAAGAACGGACCAGAUGAAUAUUAUAAACACGCAUCACAAAAACAUUUCUAUAAAAAAACAGUUACAGAACAAGUUAUAUAUAAUAAAAAAACGUUACAUUAUGGUGAUUAUGUAUUUAUAAACUUUAUUAACAACAACACAUUAGCAAAACCUAAGUUUAUUCCCAAAUUGAUAUUACUCUAUAACAUACAAUGUUCUAUCAUAAUACAUGAUUAUUUUUUUAUGUAUUUACUUGAAAAUUAUAAACAAAUAAGCACCUUCAAAGAAAACAAAAAUAAUGAAAAUACAAUAACAAAACAUAGGGUAAAUAAUUUACAUACAAAUAACAUAUGUAACACUAAAAUAGGAAAUACAUUAUUAAAUUAUAUGAAAAAAAAAAAAUACCCAUUUGUUAUUAAAUAUAUAAAACAAGUUAUCAUUAAAGCUAGCAAAUAUUUUGAAAUCAAUUUUUUAAAAAAAAUAAAAAAAAAUACACAUAUACGAAAAAAUAUCAAUCUAUACUAUAUAAAUGAUAAUUAUACUCAUGCAAAUAGCUUUACAUAUUUAAAUGGUUAUACCAAUGUUAAAUUUAUUUUUUUUUACAUUUUGAAAAUAUUUUUUUAUUUGAAAAAUAAUCCGUAUUCUUCUAUCUUUGAUAUAUAUAAAAGCCUUGAACUAUUAAAUUUUUGCGAUUUAAAUUUUUUGUUAAGAGCAAUGUGUCAAGAUGGGUUUAUUUCAUUUAAAUUAAUGUUUGUGUCAAAAAAAAGUGCAAUGUAUAAAUUUAAAAAUAAUUAUAAGCUGAUUAAUGAUUUUGAUUAUUUUUUAUCACAUGAUGGUUUAAAGACCAACAGAAAAAAGCGAAGGAUGAAUAAAAGCAUAAAUAAAGCUAUAAAUAUUGACAUAACUGUAGACAAAAAUAUAAACAAAUAUGUAAAAAAAAAAAAAAAAUAGAAAAACGUUGCUAUUUUUUUGAUACAAGCUCAGAGGCAGAAUUUACAACGGAUGAUGAUUAUUCAGAAAAUAAUGAAAAAACAUGCAAAUACUCAUUUGUAAAUGUUCAUAAUACAACAAAUAAUAAAUCAUUUGCAAAAAAAAAUAAGACUUCGAAU